rnacentral:rRNA from 1 species
AGUGAACGCUGGCGGCAGGCCUAACACAUGCAAGUCGAACGGCAGCACGGCAGUAGCAAUACUGUGGGUGGCGAGUGGCGGACGGGUGAGGAAUACAUCGGGAUCUACCCUGUUGUGGGGGGAUAACGUAGGGAAACUUACGCUAAUACCGCAUAAGAACUGAGGUUGAAAGCGGCGGACCGCAAGGCGUCGCGCGAUUGGAUGAACCGAUGUCCGAUUAGCUAGUUGGCGGGGUAAAGGCCCACCAAGGCGACGAUCGGUAGCUGGUCUGAGAGGACGACCAGCCACACUGGAACUGAGACACGGUCCAGACUCCUACGGGAGGCAGCAGUGGGGAAUAUUGGACAAUGGGCGCAAGCCUGAUCCAGCCAUGCCGC